CCUGAGCAACGACUCCACAGCUCCCAUUGGCCGGGAACUGUGGCCAAUGGGAGCUGCGGGGGUGGUGCCUGCAGUGAGUGGUGACCAGAGACCCCCUGGCCCUGCCUAGGAGCUGCUGCCAGAGGGAUGUGCCAGUUGCUUUCGGGACCUGCCAAAGGGUGCCUGGAGCCUGAUUGUCACAGAGCCACCUGAAGAAGAAACUGGCUACGGUCCUACAAUGCAAUUCCAAGGAGGAGAGCUGGGGACUCCUGUUUUGAUAGAGUGACAUUUGAAGGGGUAUAAAUCCCGAGGGAG